AUUGAACGCUGGCGGCAUGCUUUACACAUGCAAGUCGAACGGUAACAGGCCUUCGGGUGCUGACGAGUGGCGAACGGGUGAGUAAUGCAUCGGAACGUACCCAGAGGUGGGGGAUAACGCAUCGAAAGCUGUGCUAAUACCGCAUGUGAUCUGAGGAUGAAAGCGGGGGACCGAGCAGCAAUGUUUGGCCUCGCGCCUUUGGAGCGGCCGAUGUCGGAUUAGCUAGUUGGUGGGGUAAAGGCCUACCAAGGCGACGAUCCGUAGCUGGUCUGAGAGGACGACCAGCCACACUGGGACUGAGACACGGCCCAGACGCCUACGGGAGGCAGCAGUGGGGAAUGUUGGACAAUGGGCGCAAGCCUGAUCCAGCAAUGCCGCGUGCGGGAAGAAGGCCUUCGGGUUGUAAACAGCUUUUGGCAGGAACGAAACGGUGUCCGCUAAUACCGGGCGAUAAUGACGGUACCUGCAGAAUAAGCACCGGCUAACUACGUG
rnacentral:rRNA from 1 species